CACAUCACCGCCUUCUUGCACAAGCCGGGCUCCUCCACGUGCUCUUAAGAUGGAAGAGACAAAGGCGAUGUUGAAAAUCUGCUCGGGUAGCACAAGCAACAAGAACCUCCUAUCAUGAGAUACCCACCGGCCACCACACCAUACUCCUCCCCGCCAGGAAGAAACCACCUACUGUGGAUCGGUUGGUUCGGACCAUGGCCUGAAACAGCACAAGGGCACAUUUUAGAAAAAACAAGUAUUUGAGCAAAACAGAAAGAGACUUGAUAAAUGUGUCUCAUCACACUGUAGCAACUAAAUGCUAAAUAAUCUGACCUGCAGUGAGAUACUGUGAACCAGGUUGUUUAGUAAGAUGCUGCAAUGGAACAAUAUGAGUCAAACCCAUUGCAGAUCAUUUAUGCUAAAAAACAACACCUUUGUUGCAAAAAGUGAGAUGCCUUUUAUAUAAAAAAAUAAAUGAUCAUUAUCCUGA